GAGAGAGAGAGAGAGAGAGAGAGAGAGAGAGAGAGAGAGAGAGAGAGAGAGAGAGAUGAAGGAGUAUUGCACACACACACACACUCUCUCUCUCACCAACCCACCCACCCAUCCACAGACCCCCAAAGUGAUAGAAAGAAGGAAGAGAAGAUAGAUAAUAAUAAGGAGGAAAGAAAGAGAAGAGAGAGAGAAGACAACAAAGAAGGAAGAGGACAUGAGAGAAGAAUGAGGAUAAUAGAAGAGGAAGAAAAAAAGAAAUGAGAGAAAGAUAGAAAAGAUAAAUAAAAGAAAAAUAAAUCCUCCCCCUGCCCCCUUCUCUCUCUCUCUCUCUCUCUCUCUCUCUCUCUCUCUCUCUCUCUCUCUCUCUCUCUCUCUCUCUCUCUCUCUCUCUCUCUCUCCCCCACAAUCCACAAACCCACAGUAUGUCUCCCACAGUAUGUUGACAAACCUAGUCACUCCCCACAGCCUCUCACAAAUAUACCUCUCUCUCUCUCUCUCUCUCUCUCUCUCUCUCUCUCUCUCUCUCUCUCUCUCUCUCUCUCUCUCUCUCUCUCUCUCUCUCUCUCUCUC